GUCAGGGUGACAUAAGGGAGUAAAAGAGAAUGCGACCUGUGAGCAUGGCAUGGGAAUGAGAAGGAAGAGACACUGAUGCGGGGGGGAUAGCGGUUUUAAAUAACAGCAGAGGUUUGAAUAAGCAGGAACGGAGAAAACUGGGAGGGAAAAAGUGAUAAUCUUAAACAGUGGCAGAGGUCUGAGUAGAGUGAGCAAGGGGUGAUGGCAGUUUAAAGCAAGGUUUGAGGACCCUGAGACGGGAGCUGGGUUCUGUUGUAUUAACUUUCUGUGUUGUGCCCAUCUCAGCUA